rnacentral:rRNA from 1 species
CUGCAACUCGCCUACAUGAAGUUGGAAUCGCUAGUAAUCGCGAAUCAGAAUGUCGCGGUGAAUACGUCCCCGGGUCUUGUACACACCGCCCGUCACACCACGAGAGUUUACAACACCCGAAGUCAGUGGCCUAACCGCAAGGAGGGAGCUGCCUAAGGUGGGGUAGAUGAUUGGGGUGAAGUCGUAACAAGGUAAC